CCUACGGGAGGCAGCAGUGAGGAAUAUUGGUCAAUGGACGCAAGUCUGAACCAGCCAUGCCGCGUGCAGGAAGACGGCUCUAUGAGUUGUAAACUGCUUUUGUACGAGGGUAAACGCAGAUACGCGUAUCUGUCUGAAAGUAUCGUACGAAUAAGGAUCGGCUAACUCCGUGCCAGCAGCCGCGGUAAUACGGAGGAUGCAAGCGGUAUCCGGAUUUAUUGGGUUUAAAGGGUGCGUAGGCGGUCGGAUAAGUUAGGGGUGAAAUCCCGGGGCUCAACUUCGGAAUUGCCGCUGAAACUGUUUGGCUAGAGAGUAGUUGCGGUAGGCGGAAUGUAUGGUGUAGCGGUGAAAUGCUUAGAGAUCAUACAGAACACCGAUUGCGAAGGCAGCUUACCAAGCUACUUCUGACGUUGAGGCACGAAAGCGUGGGGAGCAAACAGGAUUAGAUACCCCUGUAGUC
rnacentral:rRNA from 1 species